rnacentral:rRNA from 1 species
AGUUUGAUCCUGGCUCAGAGCGAACGCUGGCGGCAGGCUUAACACAUGCAAGUCGAGCGCCGUAGCAAUACGGAGCGGCAGACGGGUGAGUAACGCGUGGGAACGUACCUUUUGGUUCGGAACAACACAGGGAAACUUGUGCUAAUACCGAAUAAGCCCUUACGGGGAAAGAUUUAUCGCCGAAAGAUCGGCCCGCGUCUGAUUAGCUUGUUGGUGAGGUAACGGCUCACCAAGGCGACGAUCAGUAGCUGGUCUGAGAGGAUGAUCAGCCACAUUGGGACUGAGACACGGCCCAAACUCCUACGGGAGGCAGCAGUGGGGAAUAUUGGACAAUGGGCGCAAGCCUGAUCCAGCCAUGCCGCGUGAGUGAUGAAGGCCCUAGGGUUGUAAAGCUCUUUUGUGCGGGAAGAUAAUGACGGUACCGCAAGAAUAAGCCCCGGCUAACUUCGUGCCAGCAGCCGCGGUAAUACGAAGGGGGCUAGCGUUGCUCGGAAUCACUGGGCGUAAAGGGUGCGUAGGCGGGUCUUUAAGUCAGAGGUGAAAGCCUGGAGCUCAACUCCAGAACUGCCUUUGAUACUGAGGAUCUCGAGUUCGGGAGAGGUGAGUGGAACUGCGAGUGUAGAGGUGAAAUUCGUAGAUAUUCGCAAGAACACCAGUGGCGAAGGCGGCUCACUGGCCCGAUACUGACGCUGAGGCACGAAAGCGUGGGGAGCAAACAGGAUUAGGUACCCUGGUAGUCCACGCCGUAAACGAUGAAUGCCAGCCGUUGGGGAGUUUACUCUUCAGUGGCGCAGUAACGCUUUAAGCAUUCCGCCUG